AUGCUUACCUGACGCGAGAGGCACCUUGAUCAACUAGGAGGUCCUCUCAGGAUGAGGCCCUUUCAUUGCCCUUCGACUGGGUUGACUCCUGCGAUUACCCCUAAUGUGGGUAACUCGAGCGUAUAAUUUCUGGUAGUGGGGACCUGCGUUCGCGCUCGUCCCCU
rnacentral:snRNA from 1 species